rnacentral:rRNA from 1 species
UGGGGAAUAUUGGACAAUGGGCGAAAGCCUGAUCCAGCCAUGCCGCGUGUGUGAAGAAGGUCUUCGUAUUGUAAAGCACUUUAAGUUGGGAGGAAGGGCAGUAAGCGAAUACCUUGCUGUUUUGACGUUACCGACAGAAUAAGCACCGGCUAACUCUGUGCCAGCAGCCGCGGUAAUACAGAGGGUGCAAGCGUUAAUCGGAAUUACUGGGCGUAAAGCGCGCGUAGGUGGUUCGUUAAGUGGAAUGUGAAAGCCCCGGGCUCAACCUGGGAACUGCAUCCAAAACUGGCGAGCUAGAGUAGGGCAGAGGGUGGUGGAAUUUCCUGUGUAGCGGUGAAAUGCGUAGAUAUAGGAAGGAACACCAGUGGCGAAGGCGACCACCUGGGCUCAUACUGACACUGAGGUGCGAAAGCGUGGGGAGCAAACAGG